CAAUUUAGUUUGAUCCUGGCUCAGGACGAACGCUGGCGGCGUGCUUAACACAUGCAAGUCGAGCGAUGAAGCUUCCUUCGGGAAGUGGAUUAUCGGCGGACGGGUGAGUAACACGUGGGUAACCUGCCUCAAAGUGGGGGAUAGCCUUCCGAAAGGAAGAUUAAUACCGCAUAAUAUAAGAGAAUCGCAUGAUUUUCUUAUCAAAGAUUUAUUGCUUUGAGAUGGACCCGCUGGCGCAUUAGCUAGUUGGUAAGGUAAUGGCUUACCAAGGCAACGAUGCGUAGCCGACCUGAGAGGGUGAUCGGCCACAUUGGAACUGAGACACGGUCCAGACUCCUACGGGAGGCAGCAGUGGGGAAUAUUGCGCAAUGGGGGAAACCCUGACGCAGCAACGCCGCGUGGGUGAUGAAGGUCUUCGGAUUGUAAAGCCCUGUUUU
rnacentral:rRNA from 1 species